UACGUAGGGGUCGAGCGUUGUCCGGAGUUACUGGGCGUAAAGCGUGUGCAGGCGGCUCAUUGCGCCCGGCGUGAAAGCCCCCGGCUCAACCGGGGAGAGUCGUCGGGGACGGGUGAGCUUGAGGGUAUCAGGGGCUGGUGGAAUUCCCGGUGUAGUGGUGAAAUGCGUAGAUAUCGGGAGGAACACCCGUGGCGAGGGCGGCCAGCUGGGAUACACCUGACGCUGAGACACGAAGGCGUGGGGAGCGAACGGG
rnacentral:rRNA from 1 species